rnacentral:rRNA from 1 species
GGGAGGGGGGGCCAGCGUUGUUCGGAAUUAUUGGGCGUAAAGGGCGCGUAGGCGGGCCCGGCAAGUCAGUUGUGAAAUCCCUCGGGCUCAACCGAGGAACUGCGACUGAAACUGCCGGGCUUGAGUCCCGGAGAGGGUAGCGGAAUUCCCAGUGUAGCGGUGAAAUGCGUAGAUAUUGGGAGGAACACCGGUGGCGAAGGCGGCUACCUGGACGGGUACUGACGCUGAGGCGCGAAAGCGUGGGGAGCAAACAGGAUUAGAUACCCUGGUAGCCCACGCUGUAAACGAUGGGCACUUGGUGUUGCGGGUAUCGACCCCUGCAGUGCCGAAGCUAACGCAUUAAGUGCCCCGCCUGGGGAGUACGGUCGCAAAGGCUG